GAUCAUGGUUCAGGAUGAACGCUAGCGACAGGCUUAACACAUGCAAGUCGAGGGGCAGCACAGGUAGCAAUACCGGGUGGCGACCGGCGCACGGGUGAGUAACGCGUAUGCAACUUGCCUAUCAGAGGGGGAUAACCCGGCGAAAGUCGGACUAAUACCGCAUGAAGCAGGGGUCCCGCAUGGGAAUAUUUGCUAAAGAUUCAUCGCUGAUAGAUAGGCAUGCGUUCCAUUAGG
rnacentral:rRNA from 1 species